rnacentral:sRNA from 1 species
UCGAAAUGUCCAUGCUCGACGUUGAAAGC